rnacentral:lncRNA from 1 species
GUGGAGCCUUUGAAUUUUUUAAAAGACCAUAGUAAUCAGAUCUACUUGAAAAAUUAAGUGAAUUGAUUUGGUUGGAAUGCUCUUUUACCGAUGCUUUAACAUACAGCCACUAGAUUCCCAGAAGUUGUGCAUGAGUUCCUGUGAGGAGAGUUGGCAUCUUGGAAAUCAAAGACGGUUGUGAUGCAGUUUUUUGAUAUGAGGAUAACAGGCUGGAGUGCAGUGCUGCAAUCAUAGCUCACUGCAGCCUCGACCUGCUGG